rnacentral:rRNA from 1 species
AGAGUUUGAUCCCGGCUCAGAAUGAACGCUGGCGGCGUGCCUAACACAUGCAAGUCGAACGCGAAAGGGGCUUCGGUCCUGAGUAGAGUGGCGCACGGGUGAGUAACGCGUGGGUAAUCUACCCAAGAGUGGGGGAUAACAUUCCGAAAGGGGUGCUAAUCCCGCAUACGACAUUGUUACGUAGGUAAUGAUGGGAAAGGGGGCCUCUGUUUACAAGCUUCCGCUCUUGGAUGAGCCCGCGUCCGAUUAGCUAGUUGGUGAGGUAAUGGCUCACCAAGGCUACGAUCGGUAACUGGUCUGAGAGGAUGAUCAGUCACACUGGAACUGAGACACGGUCCAGACUCCUACGGGAGGCAGCAGUGAGGAAUAUUGCGCAAUGGGGGAAACCCUGACGCAGCGACGCCGCGUGGGUGAUGAAGGCCUUCGGGUCGUAAAGCCCUGUCGGAGGGAAAGAAAGGGCGAGUAGCUAAUACCUGCUCGCAUUGACGGUACCCUCAGAGGAAGCACCGGCUAACUCCGUGCCAGCAGCCGCGGUAAUACGGAGGGUGCGAGUGUUAUUCGGAAUCACUGGGCGUAAAGCGAACGUAGGCGGAUAGGCAAGUCAGAUGUGAAAUCCCGGGGCUCAACCUCGGAACUGCAUUUGAUACUGCUUGUCUUGAGUAUGGUAGAGGUGGGUAGAAUUCCCGGUGUAGAGGUGAAAUUCGUAGAUAUCGGGAGGAAUACCAGAGGCGAAGGCGACCCACUGGGCCAUUACUGACGCUGAGGUUCGAAAGCGUGGGUAGCAAACAGGAUUAGAUACCCUGGUAGUCCACGCUGUAAACGAUGAGUACUAGGUGCGGGGGGUAUAAACUCCCUCCGUGUCGAAGCUAACGCGAUAAGUACUCCGCCUGGGAAGUACGGCCGCAAGGCUGAAACUCAAAGGAAUUGACGGGGGCCCGCACAAGCGGUGGAGCAUGUGGUUUAAUUCGAUGCUACGCGAAGAACCUUACCUAGGCUUGACAUCCAGAGAAUCCUUAAGAGAUUAGGGAGUGCCUUUCGGGGAACUCUGAGACAGGUGCUGCAUGGCUGUCGUCAGCUCGUGUCGUGAGAUGUUGGGUUAAGUCCCGCAACGAGCGCAACCCCUACUUUUAGUUGCCAGCACUUUGGGUGGGCACUCUAAAGGAACUGCCUGGGUUAACCAGGAGGAAGGUGGGGACGACGUCAAGUCAUCAUGGCCUUUAUGCCUAGGGCUACACACGUGCUACAAUGGUAGAUACAGAGGGCAGCUAACCCGCGAGGGGGCGCGAAUCCACGAAAGUCUACCUCAGUUCGGAUUGUACUCUGCAACUCGAGUGCAUGAAGUCGGAAUCGCUAGUAAUCGCGGAUCAGAAUGCCGCGGUGAAUACGUUCCCGGGCCUUGUACACACCGCCCGUCACACCACGGGAGUUGGUUUUACUAGAAGACGUUGAGCUAACUUCGGAGGCAGGCGUCCACGGUAAGACCGAUGAUUGGGGUGAAGUCGUAACAAGGUA